rnacentral:rRNA from 1 species
CCUAACGGCUGAACCAGCAACUUGGAGGAAUGUAUAGCUACGGCUAAUUGUGUAUAUCUACACGAUAUCGACUCUGUCGAAUAAAAUUCUGGGUAAAUUAUGAUGAUGACAUUUUUUACCUAUGUGUCUUGACCAAAUUGUGUGCCAGCAGUCGCGGUAAUACAUAGAAGACUAGUGUUAUUCAUCUUUAAUAGGUUUAAAGGGUACCUAGACGGUAGAUCAAGCCCUAGACGGGACUAAUUUGCUAGAGUUACUUAUGAGGGGGCUUUAAAGUACUAAUGGUGUAGAGAUAAAAUUUUGUAAUACCAUUUUUCGUAAAGAAAAAUUAUGGCACUGGUAAAGGUGAAAGCAUCCCCCUAUGUGAUAACUGACGUUGAAGGACGAAGGCUUUGGGUCGCGAAUAGGAUUAGAUACCCUAGUAGUCAAAGCAGAAAAUUAUGAGUGUCAUAGAUUAGAUAAUACAGUUUAUUCUAUAAAUGAAAGUGUAAGCACUCCACCUCAAGAGUAAUUUGGCAACAUUGGAACUGAAAUCAUUAGACCGUUUCUGAAACCAGUAGUGAAGUAUGUUGUUUAAUUCGAUGAUCCGCGAAAAACCUUACCACAAUUUGAAUAUGUAUACUUUUGAUAUAUUUACAAGCGUUGCACGGCUGUCUUCAGUUAAUGUCGUGAGACUUUGGUUAGAUCCAUUAAAUUAACGUAAGCCCUUACUUUAUUUUCAUAUAAAGUAGUUCUCCACCAUAUUGGACAAGAUAACAGGGACUAAGACAAGUCAUCAUGGCCUGAAUAUUGUGGGCUAUAGACGUGCCACAUAAACCUCUACAGAAAGGGAUGUG